UUCCGUAGGUGAACCUGCGGAAGGAUCAUUAGUGAAUAUAGGACGUCCAACUUAACUUGGAGUCCGAACUCUCACUUUCUAACCCUGUGCAUUUGUUUGGGAUAGUAACUCUCGCAAGAGGGCGAACUCCUAUUCACUUAUAAACACAAAGUCUAUGAAUGUAUUAAAUUUUAUAACAAAAUAAAACUUUCAACAACGGAUCUCUUGGCUCUCGCAUCGAUGAAGAACGCAGCGAAAUGCGAUAAGUAAUGUGAAUUGCAGAAUUCAGUGAAUCAUCGAAUCUUUGAACGCACCUUGCGCUCCAUGGUAUUCCGUGGAGCAUGCCUGUUUGAGUGUCAUGAAUACUUCAACCCUCCUCUUUCUUAAUGAUUGAAGAGGUGUUUGGUUUCUGAGCGCUGCUGGCCUUUACGGUCUAGCUCGUUCGUAAUGCAUUAGCAUCCGCAAUCGAACUUCGGAUUGACUUGGCGUAAUAGACUAUUCGCUGAGGAAUUCUAAUCUUCGGAUUAGAGCCGGGUUGGGUUAAAGGAAGCUUCUAAUCAGAAUGUCUACAUUUUAAGAUUAGAUCUCAAAUCAGGUAGGACUACCCGCUGAACUUAAGCAUAUCAAUAAGCGGAGGA
rnacentral:rRNA from 1 species